rnacentral:rRNA from 1 species
UACAGAGGGUGCAAGCGUUAAUCGGAUUUACUGGGCGUAAAGCGCGCGUAGGUGGUUCAGUAAGUUGGAUGUGAAAUCCCCGGGCUCAACCUGGGAACUGCAUCCAAAACUGCUGAGCUAGAGUACGGUAGAGGGUGGUGGAAUUUCCUGUGUAGCGGUGAAAUGCGUAGAUAUAGGAAGGAACACCAGUGGCUAAGGCGA